rnacentral:rRNA from 1 species
GGGGAAUAUUGCGCAAUGGGCGAAAGCCUGACGCAGCGACGCCGCGUGAGGGAUGAAGGUUCUCGGAUCGUAAACCUCUGUCAGAAGGGAAGAAACCGCACCGUGCUAAUCAGCGGUGCAUUGACGGUACCUUCAAAGGAAGCACCGGCUAACUCCGUGCCAGCAGCCGCGGUAAUACGGAGGGUGCAAGCGUUAAUCGGAAUUACUGGGCGUAAAGCGCACGUAGGCUGCUUUGUAAGUCAGGGGUGAAAUCCCACGGCUCAACCGUGGAAACGGCCUUGAUUAGGCCUAGCCUGGAAUCCGGGGAGGGGUGGGGAAAUUCCAGGGGUGGGGGUGAAAUCGGUAGAAAUCUGGGGAAACAUCGGUGGCGAAGGCGGCCACCUGGACGGGUAUUGACGCUGGGGGGCAAAGGCGUGGGAGCAAACA